rnacentral:rRNA from 1 species
AGAGUUUGAUCCUGGCUCAGGAUGAACGCUGGCGGCGUGCCUAAUACAUGCAAGUCGAGCGAACGGACGAGAAGCUUGCUUCUCUGAUGUUAGCGGCGGACGGGUGAGUAACACGUGGAUAACCUACCUAUAGGACUGGGAUAACUUCGGGAAACCGGAGCUAAUACCGGAUAAUAUUUUGAACCGCAUGGUUCAAAAGUGAAAGACGGUCUUGCUGUCACUUAUAGAUGGAUCCGCGCUGCAUUAGCUAGUUGGUAAGGUAACGGCUUACCAAGGCAACGAUGCAUAGCCGACCUGAGAGGGUGAUCGGCCACACUGGAACUGAGACACGGUCCAGACUCCUACGGGAGGCAGCAGUAGGGAAUCUUCCGCAAUGGGCGAAAGCCUGACGGAGCAACGCCGCGUGAGUGAUGAAGGUCUUCGGAUCGUAAAACUCUGUUAUUAGGGAAGAACAUAUGUGUAAGUAACUGUGCACAUCUUGACGGUACCUAAUCAGAAAGCCACGGCUAACUACGUGCCAGCAGCCGCGGUAAUACGUAGGUGGCAAGCGUUAUCCGGAAUUAUUGGGCGUAAAGCGCGCGUAGGCGGUUUUUUAAGUCUGAUGUGAAAGCCCACGGCUCAACCGUGGAGGGUCAUUGGAAACUGGAAAACUUGAGUGCAGAAGAGGAAAGUGGAAUUCCAUGUGUAGCGGUGAAAUGCGCAGAGAUAUGGAGGAACACCAGUGGCGAAGGCGACUUUCUGGUCUGUAACUGACGCUGAUGUGCGAAAGCGUGGGGAUCAAACAGGAUUAGAUACCCUGGUAGUCC